rnacentral:rRNA from 1 species
AGAGUUUGAUUCUGGCUCAGAACGAACGCUGGCGGCAGGUCUUAGGCAUGCAAGUCGAACGGAUGACAAGAGAGCUUGCUCUCUUGAAGUCAGUGGCGCACGAGUGAGUAACGCGUGGGAAACUGCCCUUCACUGGGGAAUAACGUUUGGAAACGAACGCUAAUACCGCAUACGCCCGCAAGGGGAAAGAUUUAUCGGUGAUGGAUGUGCCCGCGUUGGAUUAGCUAGUUGGUGGGGUAAUGGCCUACCAAGGCGAUGAUCCAUAGCUGGUCUGAGAGGACGAUCAGCCACGCUGGAACUGAGACACGGUCCAGACUCCUACGGGAGGCAGCAGCUAAGAAUAUUGGGCAAUGGAGGAAACUCUGACCCAGCCCAUGCCGCGUGAAUGAAGAAGGCCUUCGGGUUGUAAAGUUCUUUUAGUCAUGAAGAUGAUGACAGUAGUGACAGAAAAAGCACCGGCUAACUUCGUGCCAGCAGCGGC